rnacentral:rRNA from 1 species
AUGGAGGUCGGCUCCGUCUCCACUACUUCCUCCGUCUGUGUGGUUCUCCACGGCCGGCUUCUCUUCACCGACUCACGCAUCCAGCAAUGGAGGCCCAACCUAAAGCCGCCGCCACCGCCGCUCGCCAUCCCGUCGGCCCUUCUUCCACUGGACCACUCCAUCCCCCGGUCUAGUCAUCGUUCACAUCACCGGGUUACUCAAGUUUCAGUUGGGAGCUCGACCAAGAUCCAAUCUCCGGUAAUGGAGGAGCUGGCUGCUACUCGGCUGACUCUGUUGUUUGAUUGUACAACAGUUGCAUCAAGCAAGAUAAACCAAUGUGUGGUGUGCGUGCCAAGGCGCUGGGCGCGCGCAGGGGCAUGGGAUGCCGGUGACAGUGACCAACACCCCCUACAUGGGCAUCAACGACCUGGACACCUCCGCGAGCCUAUGCAAGCUGCCGGUCUACCUAUAGCUGACAUGCCAACACCACUCAAAAGUAACCAAUUCAUCCGCUCAGAGGUGGUUAAGAUUACAUCAGCAGUGAGUGGCCGAUUCUUCGUCGACUACGGCAUAGUGAUUGCAAAGGAGCUGGGCGUGCAGGGGCAUGGGAUGCCCGUGACAGUGACCAACACCACCUACAUGGGCAUGAACGCCCUCCAUGGCACCGCUGGCCUGGGCAAGCCGUGCCGGUCUACCGUAGCUCGUGGAGGUUGUCAAGAUGUAUGUCCACAUGCCGACACUGCUCAGGGUGAUUCAUGCAUCAACGCCUUUCAGAUCCUAAAGCAUACAUAUUUGAUUUGGCGUUGGGGUCCAAUUUCAACGCUGGGGAGAGCUGGUGCCAUGGCGGGCUACUAUGUUGUUGGGGUUCAUUUUCCAACGAUUGUAGUCUUGCAGAGGUUAUGCCUAGGUGCCGUGUGCAGUAGGGUGCUGCCUUGCCCAACACCAUCCCCUGCAUGUGUUCCUCCGUGGACCUCGUCAGAUAGUGCGAGGGGCAUGGGAUGGUACAACAGUUGCAUCAAGGAUGAUAAACCAACAUGUGGUGUGCGUGCAAAGGAGCUAGGCGUGCAGGGGCAUGGGAUGCUGGUGACAGUGGACAAAAGCCCCUACAUCGGCAUGAGCGACCUGGACGUCUCCGCGGGCUUCUGCAAGCUGCCGGUCUACGGAGUUGGUCAAGAUGUAAGUGCUGGCCGCUGCCCGUCUGAUUCUGUAGAUGAUGUUGCAUGGAGGAUGAUAAACCGACGUGUGGUGUGCGUGGGGAAGUACAUCAGCAGUGAGUCGGUGCCGUGCCCCUCCAGUGGCCGAUUCUUCAUCGACUACGUUAUAGAAGUGAUUGCAAAAGAGUUGGGCAUGCAGGGGCCUGGGAUGCCCGUGAGAGUGGCCAACACCACCUACAUGGGCAUGAAUGCCCUCCAUGGCACCACCGGCCUUGGCAGGCUGUGCCGGUCUACGAGUAGCUCGUGGAGGUACCUUGUUGAUUCUAGCGUUGAUCGAAAUGAGAAACGUUCGGGCAUCACUAGACUUCGACACCUCCCAUCUUGCCCCUCUGGUGGUCGCUUCUUGUUCGAAUCUGGCAUAGUAUUGUACAACAGUUGCAUCAAGGAUGAUAAACCAACGUGUGGUGUGCGUGCAAAGGAGCUGGGCGUGCAGGGGCAUGGGAUGUCGGUGACAGUGGCCAACACCCCCUACAUGGGCAUCAACAGCUGCGAGUGUCUUUCCACUAGUAGAGUAAACCUUACAAAGCUUGGAACACAUGCACUAUGGACAUACUGGAAGCACUUCAAUCUUAUAAGCACCAUCCUAGCCUAUGUAGUAAUUCUUGAUCGGCAAAAAAUCAAUGUCAAUAUGCUUACACCAACGUUGCUGCUGGGCAAUACCGUCCGGUUCCAUGGCGCCUUUCGCUCGGGCAUGUCAAACAUGGAUGUCAUCAGAGGGGGCAGCACUUACGGUGUCGUAGUCUUUGCUGGUGACAGUAGCUUUUCCGUUGCCAAGGAUCACGGCAAGUACAUGCGGUGCCGUCGUGAAGAAUCUCGCCUAGGCCUGAUUCUGAGCAAAUAUUGUGCAUUCUUUCCUCAGAUUGUUAGUUGGGGUCAUUUGGAGCAUGGUGAGCACCCCAAGAUGGGGGCACCUCAUGUUUUCCCGUCUCCGAUGGUGUGGUCGAGAGAAAAAACAAGAGUGGAUGGCGAGCCUCACACAACUGAAAGCCAUCAUGUAGGAAUCACCCGUGACAACGUACAUAUCGCCCUCGACGACCAAAUCCAGAGGAGCAGCGAGCACCAAAUGAACGCAAACCAGGACCUCCAAGCCAUGUCUCGAAAACAAUGCUCUCAACAUAGGAACGACAUCAAGGAUGCCGCCGGUACCAACCCAGAACCGGACCUAGGCUUUCGCCUGGAGUCAACCAUUCAAGUGAGCGAGGGCGAGAGAUGUCAAUCACCAUCACACCGAGCCACCACCGCAAUCGCCUGCAACCACCACGGUGCCCAUCAGCUAGCAAGGCCCUAUGCCGUGGACCACGAACUAGGCCCCAACCACCACCAAGGCCGCACCAUCGGCAUAUUACACACCUCCACCGUCACCAAACGAGCAACGCUGUCGCCGGAGCUUCACCGCACCUCACUGCCAAGACCUCAAACGGAAGAGCGCCACAUCAUCGCCGGAGAGAAGGGAGACCGCACCCGGGAGAGGCCCUGCCGCAACCGGCACUGCCAGGGCUUCACCCGACAGUGA